AUUGAAACGGAUUUCCAACUUCCUGAGAGAUUCAACCUCACGCUAGGAUUUUAUGGCUUUCUCCCCAUCAAGUUGUAGUAAUUCCUGUUGGUAGUAAAUAUGAUGAUUAUGCUGAACCGGUAAAUUUAAUUUGAUUCAAAAGAAGCUCCAUGCAGCUGGUUAUCGUGUUGAUACAGACUUGGAUCACGGAUCAACACUAAAUAAGAAAGUUCGCAAUGCACAACUUUCACAGUACAACUUCAUUCUUGUUGUUGGUGAAAAAGAGACGGUCUCAGACACGGUCAACGUCAGAACACGUGACAACAAAGUACUCGGUGAAAAAUCGGUCAUGGCCGUGAUCGAACGCUUGCGAGAUUUAGUCAGCUCACGAAGUCUGACAAGCGAA